rnacentral:rRNA from 1 species
GCAUAUCAGGUAUUAGAGGCACUGCCUGCCCAGUGACAUCCGUUCAACGGCCGCGGUAUCCUGACCGUGCAAAGGUAGCAUAAUCACUUGUUCUCUAAAUAAGGACUUGUAUGAAUGGCCACACGAGGGUUUUACUGUCUCUUACUUCCAAUCAGUGAAAUUGACCUUCCCGUGAAGAGGCGGGAAUAUUCCAAUAAGACGAGAAGACCCUAUGGAGCUUCAAUUAACUAGCCCAACAAGGACAAAUAGCAACCUACCAGGCAUAACCACCCUAUACUAUGGGCUAACAAUUUAGGUUGGGGUGACCUCGGAACAUAGAAAAACCUCCGAGAGAUAAAAGCCUAGACUAACAAGUCAAAGCAUUAUAUCAUUCAUUGAUCCAAACCACCUUUGAUCAACGGAACAAGUUACCCUAGGGAUAACAGCGCAAUCCUAUUUAAGAGUCCAUAUCGACAAUAGGGUUUACGACCUCGAUGUUGGAUCAGGACAUCCCAAUGGUGCAGCAGCUAUUAAUGGUUCGUUUGUUCAACGAUUAAAGUUCU